rnacentral:lncRNA from 1 species
AACUGUUGAUGGGAAAGAUUUAUCUAAAUAUGUUAAGAAACUCCAAGGUAGAUGCUAUUUUAUCCUUGCAGGACUUGAGGCGAGCCAUGGCGACAGGCUCUAGAAUGAGCCUAUUUGCCAAAUGGAAUUUCAACAUGAGUCUGUUCUGCCCAAAUAUCUUCUCUCCAUUAUGGGAACCUGGAGGAUAACAAAGCAGUUUCCAGACAACAAGGCCUGUAACACCGAUUUGUUUCCAGAAACUACUCUCUGGACAAAUGAAUGCUCAGGAGAUUUGCCAGUCUGGAAGAACACCAACACAGGUUAUCGAAAAGCUAGCACCAAGGUUGCCGGACUGUGAAGAAUCAGGAGAGUGUGAGAUUGGUGAAAGCUAUCAACGGAGAGAAACCUCUGUAGCAAGAAUAAUCCAUAGCAAGACCGGGGGAAGGUGGCGAAAAUGAAGGGGCAGUGCUUGGAUAGUCAUUGCCACCAGGGCUGAUCAAGACAUUUUGUGCCUCUUUUGGGCACAUGGAUGUCAGCUCUUCCACCAGGUCAAUCUUGUGUCACUCUUGCCAGCAGCAUGCCUCGGGGACAACUGAGCCAUCAGGAGGACAUUGUGUGGUGGUGCUGGGAGCAGCUGUGGAGUCCAAGGGUCACAACUGAGAGCUGUCGUUGAUGCUCCUUUACAGACCUUUGCCAGUCAUUUGAUGUUGCCUAACGUUAGGGCAGGUUCUGGUUGGCAUGAUCAUCAUUUUUGGAAAUGGCAUAAAAUCCAAUUUGGAUAUGAGAAGGUGAUAUAAAUCUCUCAGAAGGACUGCCUUUCCCCUUAUGAGCCACCAGGUUUUAAAGAAGGUUUUUAGACCCUAGUGUCUUCCAGGGAUGUUUUCUUAAAGAAAAUGAAACAGGGGCUUUUGGGUGGAUGCUCCUAAGGUUGUAGAUCUUCCUUCCAAGGGAACAGAAUGGUGAGGAAUACUUGAGUUUGCAUGGCAAUCUAUGUAUCUUUAGCAUCCGUUUCUGUCAUGAAGCAAAGCAAAUCACACAAAUGACAUAAUCUGCAGAAGAUGCAUAAUUUUGCUCGAAAUGUGCAAUCUGCAUUAAAAAGUUGAGUUUGUAGUACAAGAAAAAAAAUCUCAUUCUCCUAUGGAGUGAGGAGAACAUUUUUGGAAUCUCUUCUCCUUCUCUGUGAUUUCAAGGCAAAGACUGAAGUGAGGAGAACAUUUUUGGAAUCUCUUCUUCUCUGUGAUUUCAAGGCAAAGACUGGGCCUACGAGGCCAGUCCUCUUGUGGCUACAUAGCUGAUGCUUACAUGGCCAC